rnacentral:snoRNA from 1 species
UUUCAUUUAAAAGUGCUCAACCAGCUUUCUUUACUCACGGGGACCUGGUGUGCACUGGGUGCAAACAGCAGCUUCCUCAGUAGCUUACGCAGCCUGUUGUUUGUGUGGGUUGCCCUAAGGGACCUUGGAGACAGGU